rnacentral:lncRNA from 1 species
CUCACAACCUUCCCUGGCCGGCUGGCCUCCUGGGGAAUCGAACUACAAACUCUCACCGUUCCCAGGCAGCACAACUGAUAGGCAGGGGACAAAGGGAAUUGUACUCCCUUCCUGCUGGAUGUGGAAUAAAAUUGUGUCCGAAGUACAUGGGGGGACAGCUAAGUGUGCAAAGGAGUGUUAUUGGCUUUGGGUUCUGAAAGUCCCAGGAAUUUAUUUAUUUAUUUAACUUAUCUGCUUCUGCUCUUUCCUUCUGCUUCUGCUCUCCAGACCAGGGUUGCUUCUCCCCAGCCAACUAGAACUGAUGGAAGCUCUGGAGGAAGCGCCCGACCCCUUUUUUGGCCUGAUGGAGCCUCUGCUGCCGAGUCCUUCCUCCAUUCCACAUGUAAGAUGAUGAUCUCCCCGCACCCCCCUGACCCAAGAUAAUACGGCUUGCUUCUUCUCCCUCCCUUCCUCCCUCCCUCCCUCUCCGUGCGCUGGAUCCGAGCUUUCCAACAAGGGAAGCGGAUGAAGCAACAUCAUCCUUAUAUCUCCCUCCGCUUCCAGGUUCGAAACAUCUUGGAAACACCGACUCCGGAGAGAAGCCCCACGGAACGUGCCCCGUCUUCCAUGCGUCGGAGGACAGGAGAGCCUCUCCUCACCGUCUCUCCCGACGCCAUCACCCUCCGGGAGGCUGAACCCAUUACCUUGCCGAGGUUUGAAGUAAGGUCUUCUGCUGCCGCAGGGAAAUGGGAGACGGAGUGGUUUCAUGAUCUCAGACGUUGGGGGUGGGUGGGUGGCCUUUGGACUACAACUCCCAUUACCCACCCCUCCCAGCCCGUCAGCCAUGCUGCUGGUGGUAGGGAGUUAUGGGAGUUUUCACCCAGAAAAGUAACUUUCUCCUUCUGUGCCAUGAUGUGGGUUCACACUGGACGUUUCAUUUUUUUCUCUCUCGGUGGCAGGAGGAGCGAGACCUCCCCGAAAUCACGGCUCAAGAGAUCGACAUGUUGGCUGAACAAGAAGGGUUCCUGGUGCCCGGUGUGGCGACACCCCUGCUUUCGCCCAGGAAACGCCGUUUGGAAGAAGGUGAGGGGAGAGGAGGAGGUGAUGGUGGUGGUGAAGGAGGAGCCCGGCUAGGGCACAGGUCUGCACCUCAGAGAGAGGUUUCUUUUCCAUACACGGACUGAGGGGAGAGGAGGAGGUGAUGGUGGUGGAGAAGGAGGAAGAGCCUGGCCAGGGCACAGGCCUGCACCUCAGAGAGAGGUUUUUUUUUCCAUGCACGGACCCAAAACGUGGAUUCACACAGACACACCCCAGAACCGGGACGGCUUUUGCCCCGUCUGGUCUUUCCAACCAGUGCUUGGAAAAGUUCCCCGGGAGAUGAUUCUGGGAAUCAUCCUCCAGAAGCUGGAACUUUUCCACUCUCUGUUUUCAAUAGGUUAUUUAUUGAUUGGUUUAAAAAAUAUUUUUUCUACUCUGGUCUGGCUCCUCCAAAAGGACCCGAGGCGGCUGACGUCACUGAAAGACGGACAUUUAAAGCUAAAAAACAGCCUAUCUAAAAAAGAAGCCUUGCACCAUUAAAAGACAAGAUUUGCAAUUUAAAACAAUAAGGAUAGGGGCCGGUGGGGAAGAGAAGACAGCAGAGAUCUCACUCCCCCACACCCGCAGGGCAGAAGGAUGUCCGAGACUUUUCUAGUGGCAAAACAUCUGGAGCAGCAAAAUUCUGGUGAAAACCCCCAGCUGGAGAGCCGUGCAGAGGAGUCGAAGCUCCCAUGGAAAAACAUGAGCUGCCAUCUAAAAUCCACUGUCCUGGAUUCAAAUCCUGCCUGGAGGCUCUGUGUUGAAGAGCCUGGACCACUCAGGCAAGGAGGGAAGGCAGGGCUGAGCUUGCUAGGGGGAAAGGACUUCACCGUGUGUAAGGUGGAAGACUUGAAGGGGUGUCUUCAAAAGGUGGCCGGAUUUUGAGAUUCGGGACGACGCUGCCCAGAAUUCGACAGGCAGGUGUGCCCUUUUGGGUUGGCCCGUCGAUGUACCUUUGGUGGGCAGAGUCUUGGAGCCGCACGUGGGAGUCGUGGUUUCGAAUGAUGACGGACCCAUACUUGGGGGUGGGGGUGGGAGGCUGUGGUUAAAAACCACUCUUCAAGCGCCUCACCUGCUCCUAAAACUCUACUCUGUCGUUGGAAGUGAGCUGAUGGGAGAGAGCAAAAAGAGGAAGAAAUUAAGGGAUGGCCUCAGGAUGAAGGGGGGGGGAUAAGGAUGAGAAGGAUGCCCGCCCACCCAUCCCGGAUGAGAGAGAGGGAAAGUGGGAGCUGUCCCUACUGGAAAACAAAGUAUUUUGAAGUGGCUUGGUAGAAUAGGCAGUUCAGAUCCGUUAACCUCAGAAAACCCCUGCUCCUGGUGGAGAUAAAAACAGCUAGCGUGGGCUUUUCACUCGGCCUCCUGCAAGAUAGGGGAAUAAAGAAAGAGAAACGUUGGAAGACUUUUGCUCG